rnacentral:rRNA from 1 species
AUUGAACGCUGGCGGCAGGCCUAACACAUGCAAGUCGAGCGGUAGCACAGAAGAGCUUGCUCUUCGGGUGACGAGCGGCGGACGGGUGAGUAAUGUCUGGGAAACUGCCUGAUGGAGGGGGAUAACUACUGGAAACGGUAGCUAAUACCGCAUAACGUCUUCGGACCAAAGAGGGGGACCUUCGGGCCUCUUGCCAUCAGAUGUGCCCAGAUGGGAUUAGCUAGUAGGUGAGGUAAUGGCUCACCUAGGCGACGAUCCCUAGCUGGUCUGAGAGGAUGACCAGCCACACUGGAACUGAGACACAGUCCAGACUCCUACGGGAGGCAGCAGUGGGGAAUAUUGCACAAUGGGCGCAAGCCUGAUGCAGCCAUGCCGCGUGUGUGAAGAAGGCCUUCGGGUUGUAAAGCACUUUCAGCGGGGAGGAAGGCGGUGAGAUUAAUACUCUCAUCGAUUGACGUUACCCGCAGAAGAAGCACCGGCUAACUCCGUGCCAGCAGCCGCCGUAA